GUAAAUUGAACCAAUAACUCUUCAUUCUUUGUUCUCAUUUGCCUAAUAUUGAAAUAUCACCCAAUGCAUUUCACAAUAGACCCCGUGUUUCUUGAAACGGCCCCAGUGGUGCAACUUUGGAAAAUCCAAAAUGUGAUACGAAUGGGUGGAUUUCAUUUUUCAUAGUGAGGACACUGGCACUUCCUAUUAACCAUCAUGUCCUGAUUCAUUACUGUACAUUUAUAGAAAAGGAAUUUUUUGAGAAGCAGCGUCUGGAAAUCAGAGGACAGCAUCAUCCUGUUUCCAAAGCCAAAGUGUCUGUUUUGGAUUACACGUUGCCGUACCAUUGUCAUCAGGGCAGUCUACGUCACGAGUUUUGGAGGUGCUGAUUUUCGAAGGCCCCGCGUUUUCAGCUGCUGUUGUACAGGAGUUCCCUGCAGAUUCUGUGUCAGGC